rnacentral:rRNA from 1 species
GGACGAACGCUGGCGGCGUGCUUAACACAUGCAAGUCGAACGCUGAAGCACCAGCUUGCUGGUGUGGAUGAGUGGCGAACGGGUGAGUAAUACGUGAGUAACCUGCCCUUGACUCUGGGAUAAGCCCGGGAAACUGGGUCUAAUACUGGAUGCUACAUGUCACCGCAUGGUGGUGUGUGGAAAGGGUUUACUGGUCUUGGAUGGGCUCACGGCCUAUCAGCUUGUUGGUGAGGUAAUGGCUCACCAAGGCGACGACGGGUAGCCGGCCUGAGAGGGUGACCGGCCACACUGGGACUGAGACACGGCCCAGACUCCUACGGGAGGCAGCAGUGGGGAAUAUUGCACAAUGGGCGAAAGCCUGAUGCAGCGACGCCGCGUGAGGGAUGACGGCCUUCGGGUUGUAAACCUCUUUCAGCAGGGAAGAAGCCACAAGUGACGGUACCUGCAGAAGAAGCGCCGGCUAACUAC